GAAGAGAAGCAGGAGUCCCAGAUAGUGCCACCUGCACACCCGCUCACUCUGCUCUUCCUGCGCCCACGGGUGGCAAACUCGAGGGGAUCACUUGAGCCCAGCCUGAGGUGCUACGAAGUGGGCCUGGGUUCUGCCCUCCAUGACUAUUCACCUUCUUCUCCUGGAAAUAAGAAGGAGUCCCGACUCCCCUUCUGCGGCUUAGACAGAGAUAUGAGAGGGCCUGCAGAACUCACCAAGAGGGCAAGACAGAGAGAAGAAAGCGGUGAUGGUCAGGAGAAAGAAUAUCUAGCAGACGUCUGAAGAGAACUGAAGGAGCCUAAGAGCGGAGUGGUCCUGUUUUCCAGUGGUGAUGCUCAGUACUUGACAGAAACACCUAACUCUUUAAUGGGCUUUGACUUAAGAUGCAUCCAGCAUGUUCUCCAUCAGCAGAAUGAACAUAAAAUCCAUGCUAAACUCACGUGUUUCAGACGUACCUUUCUGUCCUUCCAAACACAUCUUCUCCUUUUAUCUAAACUACUUGGAUAAUAAAAUUUUAUCCUGUGGCCAUAAAAAAAGCUUUUAUUACCAAAGCAAUAAGGUCUAAGGAGGAGAUUACCAUGGCAAAAACUUUAUAGUUUAUUAUAUAGUUAAUCACAAAGAUAAAGUGUCAUUUCAUAAAAAGCGUUCCCAGUGUCUUGGUUCUUUCUAUAGGGAACUAAUAGCAAUGAGAAAAGGAGUCAGAAGGGUUCUUCAGUCAGGAUCUG